GAACGCGAAGAACCUUACCUGGGCUUGACAUAGCAGUGGUAGGGAAGCGAAAGCAGACCGACCCUUCGGGGAGCUGUUACAGGUGUUGCAUGGCUGUCGUCAUCUCGUGUCGUGAGAUGUUCGGUUAAGUCCGCUAACGAGCGCAACCCUCGCUGUGUGUUACAAGUGUCACACGAGUACUCGCCGGUAUUAACUCCUGAGGAAGGUGGGAUGACGUCAAGUCAGCAUGACCUUUAUAUCCAGGGCUACACACACACGCUACAAUGGUCAGUACAAUAGGUUGCCAAGCCGCGAGGCGGAACCAAUCCUAAAAAGCUGGCCUCACUUCAGAUUGCAGUCUGCAACUCGACUGCAUGAAGUUGGAGUU
rnacentral:rRNA from 1 species